UCCUUCGUAGGUGCUGCACUAUUUCUUCAUUGGAGAAUGAGGUAGAACUUCUGUAAACCCUAUCAGAUUUGACAGAACUUUGGAAUUUCAUAUCAUGUAUUCCUUCAUUUAAUAUUGCAUUUACACAUGAAAGUGGCAGAGAAGCUUCAUCCACUUGAUUAUGUAAACCUCCAAAAUCCCUUCCGUUGCUACUCAGCAUUUACACAUGAAAGUGGCAGAGAAGCUUCAUCCACUUGAUUAUGUAAAGCUCCAAAAUCCCUUCCAUUGCUACUCGGACUAUAUGACUUAUGUACUAAUGAAUGAUCACCGGAGUCCUCUGUGG
rnacentral:lncRNA from 1 species